GACAGAGGUCCCGAGCGUUAGGCGGAAUCACUGGGCUUAAAGCGUGUGUAGGCGGACUUGUAAGUACCUUGUGAAAUCCCACGGCUUAACCGUGGAACUGCUUGGUAUACUGCUUGUCUUGGGCCAUCUAGGGGCUAGCGGAACAAACGGUGGAGCGGUGAAAUGCGUAGAUAUCGGAAGGAACAUCAGUGGCGAAAGCGACUUCCUGGACCAAUACUGACGCUCAUGUGCGAAAGCGUGGGGAGCAAACAGG
rnacentral:rRNA from 1 species